GUGUGUGUGUUGUGUGUUGUGUGUGUGUAUGGUGUGGUGUGUGUGUUGUGUGUGUAUAUGGUGUGUUAUGUGUGUGUGAUGUGUAUGGUGUGUGUGGUGUGUGUGUGGUGUGUAGUGUGUGGUGUGUGUGCGGUGUUCAUGUAGUAUGUGUGUUGUGUUGUGUGUGUGUAUGGUGCAGCGUGUGUGUGUGUGAUGUGUGUGGUGUGUGUGGUAUUCAUGUGAUGUGUGUGGUGUUCAUGUGGUAUGCGUGUUGUGUGUUUGUGUGUGUGUGGUGUGGUGUGUGUGUGGUGUGGUGUGUGUAUGUUGUGUGCUGUGUGUGUGUAUGGUGUGGUGUGUGGUGUGUGUUGUGUGCUGUGUGUGUGUGGUGUAGUGUGUGUGGUGUGUGUGUGUUUAUGGUGCGGGGUGUGUGUGUGUGUUUAUGGUGUGGUGUGUGUGUAUGUUGUGUGCUGUGUGUGUGUGGUGUAGUGUGUGUGGUGUGUGUGUGUUUAUGGUGCCGUGUGUGUGUGUGGUGUGUGUGGUGUGUGUAUGGUGUUGUGUGUUGUGUGUGUAUGGUGUGGUGUGUGUGUGGUGUGUGUGUGUGAUGUGUGUGAUGUGUGUGGUGUGGUGUGUGUGUGUGUGUGGUGUGGUGUGUAUGUGUUGUGUGUUGUGUGUGUGUAUGGUGUGGGGUGUGUGUGUGUGGUGUGGUGUGUGUGUGUGGUGUGGGGUGUGUGUGUGGUGUGUGUGUGUAUGGUGUGGUGUGUGUGUUGUGUGUGUGUAUGGUGUGUGUGGUGUGUGUGGUGUGGUGUGUGUUGUGUGUGUUUAUGGUGCGGUGUGUGUGUGUGAUGUGUGUGGUUGUGUGUGUGUGAUGUGUGUGGUGUGUGUGGUGUGUGUGGUGUGGUGUGUAUGUGUUGUGUGUUGUGUGUGUGUGGUGUGGGGUGUGUGUGUGGUGUGUGUGUGUAUGGUGUGGUGUGUGUAUGGUGUGUGUGGUGUGUGUGUGUGGUGUGUGUGUGUUGUGUGUGUGUUGUGUGUUGUGUGUGUAUGGUGUGUGUGGUGUGUGUGUGUGGUGUGUGUUGUGUGUGUGUGUUUAUGGUGUGUGUUGUGUGUGUGUGUGUGUUGUGUGGUGUGUGUGUGUUAUUGUUGUGUGUGUUGUGUGUAUGGUGUGGGGUGUGUGUGUGUUGUGUGUGUGUGUAUGGUGUUGUGUGUGUAUUGUGUGUGUGUGGUGUGUUGUGUGUGUUGUUGUGUGUGUGUGUUGUGUGUGUGGUUGUUGUGUAUUGUUGUGUGUGUGGUGUGUGUGUGUAUUGUGUGUGUGUAUUAUGUGUGUGUGUAUGGUGUGUGUGUAUUAUUGUGUGUGUGUGUGUGUUGUGUGGUGUGUGUUGUGUGUGUGUGUGUGUGUGUGUGUGUGUGUGUGGUGUGUGUGUGUGUGGUGUGUG
rnacentral:lncRNA from 1 species